GGAAUGCACUCCCUGUGGUGAAGCCAGAGGGCAGGGAGAAGUUCACACGAUUCUGUUUGUGAGGAAGAGACUGCGUUUGCUGACUCGUCUGCUUGUGGGGUGCCUGGGGGAGGACCACAGCCACCUUGUAACCAUGUCUAGAGAGUUCUGUCCUUCUAGAGAGUCCGGGACUCCAGACAGUGAAGCAAAUGUCCUUCAAGAGACUAGCCAGGUCUGAAGUGUCCUGUGAUUUCUUUCCCAGGAAGUCUGAAGAAUAUUAAUUGUGGAAAAUCAGUACCUUCCUCCCAUCUACCUCCGCAGUUGGAUGUCUCCUCUUGAAGGUCAUCUUUUGUGCUGAAGCUUUGGAGAAGGCACUUUUUUUUUCUCGUUCAGGAAUCACAGCUCCUUGAUGCCCAAGAACAUUAUCAACAAUGACGUGAAGUGAGAUUAGUCAUGAGCAAGUCUCUGACUCUCAUGAAAGCUCCAUCUCUUAGGACCAAGGGUUCCGGUAAUGGUGAUGGGGUAGAUGAGGCUGGAAGGAACAGCUGGAUCUGAUGCCUUUGCCUCACCUACCAUCCAAAACAGCAGAGAAUUAAUCACCAGCCACAUUUCCCUCCCCCAAGCUAUGUGAGGAGGCAGCUUAUCGACAAGGACAGGUCUGGGUCUGCUGUCUUGAGGGGACCAGAACAAAUGUUCUGUCUUGACUUCACCGUUGAGCCGUCGUUCCACCCCUCACUUCUACAAGGGACUAAACAUCAUCACCAGGGCCACAUGCAUCUUCUUUAACUGUUGACCCUCCACCUCGGGGGGCCACCGAUUAGAGACAGUGACCCAUGGGCAUUUAAAAUCUGAGCUCCUUCAGGUGGAAGUGUCCUUGACAGCAGCAUCUCACCACAGCUUCUUUCACCAAAGUGGCCCUGGAAGCAGGGGAGGGCAGUUCUGCACGCUUUGCAUUUUUCUGUGCAUGCCUUGGGUCCUAAUAAAUAUAGUAAAUUCCUAAGUAGGGCCCCCAAAAUUCAGUCUAACAAUAUGUGAGCUUGUGUUACAAUGGAGUAGAUGGAAUGGCCAGGUAAGCUUGGUGCAGAGGGCAGGAAUCCGUCACCUCUCACUUUGUAUCCAUCCGACCUCAUGUGAUUGUGGGUGUGUUAUCAUGGGGCUUCAUUAUGUAUCAAAUAAAGACAUCAUUUCCGCCAA
rnacentral:lncRNA from 1 species